ensembl:lncRNA
GCAUGUGAUCAGCAUGUGCAUUAAGCGUGUGCAUGAGCAUAUGAGCAUGUUUGAGCAUGAGUGCAUGUGUGAGGCAUGUGCAUGUUAGCAUGUGUGCACGAGUUUGCAGUGUAUCACUGUGGAACUAUGUGUGCAUGUGUGAGCAUCUGUCCAUGUGUGGAGAGUGUGAGUGUGAGCAUAAGCGUGUGUGGGGGGGCCAUCCCUGCAGACAGGAGAGUCCUAAGCCAUGGUCGACGGUCCCCUACCCUCCUUGGUCCCCUCGCCGCACACGCAGCACACCAGGUAUAAGCAGUACCCUGCCCUCUGCUCCAGGCAAAGACCUCAGGCGCUGGGCCCAUCGCAGGCACAAGCUAGGCAGAUACUCGCUCUCCUAAGCACCUGAUGAACCAGCUUCCCGAAGCCAAGGUAACGACACACCGUCGAGGUCAUCGGGGACACGGUUUCCAGGGAACAGGGUCUGCACUGGCACCACAAACCCAAGCGCCCCCCAAACUGUACAGCCUCCCAUCAGACAGUGUCCCAUAGAUUUGUGCACACGGCAAAACAAGGCAGCACUUUUUUUUCCUUUUUUGAGACAGGGUCUGACUCUUGCCCAGGCUGGAGUGCAGUGGUGCGAUCAUAGCUCACUGUGGCCUCGACCUCCUGGGCUCAAGUGAUCCUCCCACCUCAGCCUCCACCCCUCACUGCCCACACCCACCAGUGCUACCUGCAUAGGACAGGACACUCAGGAAGGGCUCAGAGGGGCACAGACAGGGCGUGGGCGACGGGAGGAGGACUCUGCAGUGCACUCAGCAGGAAGCAGCUGAGCACAGGCAGCAGGCAGCAGGCCCCAGCCUGGGAGCAGGAGGCGCGGAGCUUACAGGGCCUCCUUCUCCGGCUCUUGCCUUCCCUUCUAACCCUUUUACUUUCGGGACACUCGGUUCUGUUGUAUUCUCAUCAUGGUUCUGCUCGCAGUUCACUCAAGCACCACAGUGAAGCAUUCGUCCCUUCGGAGACAUUCAGUCACCAGGCCUGCAGUACUUUUACAAAACACCCCGAUGUGAGUUGGUGACUCCGCUGACACACGCGUGAUGAAUAUGUGUGUUGUCCGAGACACAGAGCCACGCCGUCACACUCAGCCCGAGUGUAGAGACGGCGUUUCACCAUGUUGGUCAGGCUGGUCACACUCAGCCCGAUGACGGCUGCCCUUCCCCAUACUGCAGUCGGGGUCAAAGGCGACUCACCUUCCUUUGGAAUCCCGUCGCCUCGUCCCAAGGGUGACAGGUCCAUGCCAACCCCAUCGGUCAGGGACUCACCUCGCAUGGUGGCUUCUGUACGGGCUGGUCAGAUCCACCUCUGACACACUGAACAACUCAAAAUGGUCAUGCCUGGCCCUCACACCCAACAUCCACACGACAGGUGUGCUGAAGUGUCCUCGGCAGGCCCAGCUGCCAUCAGACAACAGCACCCGCAGGUGAGGGGCCUCCUUCAGGGCAGCAGGCACACAGGACACCCUGCAGCCCCUUCUCCAGAGGGCGCCACCCGGCCUGCAACUCGCCGGCGCCACCCGGAACCCAAACCUCUCUUUUACCCUGACUUCUUCACCACCACGUGGCACCUGUGCUAGAUUUCUACUCGGAAGCCUUAUCCAUCUAUUUACCCGAUCUUCCUCUUAAAAACAAAAACAAGGCUGGGCGCGGUGGCUCACGCCUGUAAUCCCAGCACUUUGGGGGGCCGAGGCAGGUGGAUCACAAGGUCAGGAGUUCAAGACCAGCCUGACCAACAUGGUGAAAUCCCGUCUCUACUAAAAAUACAAAAUUUAGCUGAGCGUGGUGGUGCACACCUGUAAUCCCAGCCACUCAGGAGGCUGAGGCAGGAGAAUCACUUGAACCCUGGAGAUGGAGGCUGCAGUGAGCUGGGAUCGUACCACUGCACUCCAGCCUGGGUGACAGAGCAAGACU